rnacentral:misc_RNA from 1 species
GAAAUGCGAUAAUUAAUGUGAAUUGCAGAAUUCAGUGAAUCAUCGAGUCUUUGAACGCACAUUGCGCCCCCUGGUAUUCCGGGGGGCAUGCCUGUCCGAGCGUCAUUGCUGCCCUCAAGCACGGCUUGUGUGUUGGGCUUCCGUCCCUGGCAACGGGGACGGGCCCAAAAGGCAGUGGCGGCACCAUGUCUGGUCCUCGAGCGUAUGGGGCUUUGUCACCCGCUCCCGUAGGUCCAGCUGGCAGCUAGCCUCGCAACCAAUCUUUUUAACCAGGCUGACCUCGGAUCAGGUAGGGAUACCCGCUGAACUUAAGC